rnacentral:rRNA from 1 species
CCCUAGUAACUGCGAGUGAAGCGGGAAAAGCUCAAAUUUAAAAUCUGGCGGUCUUUUGCCGUCCGAGUUGUAAUCUAGAGAAGUAAUGCCCGUGCUGGACCGUGUAUAAGUCUCCUGGGAUGGGGCGUCAUAGAGGGUGAGAAUCCCGUCUUUGACACGGACUACCAGUGCAUUGUGGUAUGCUCUCAAAGAGUCGAGUUGUUUGGGAAUGCAGCUCAAAAUGGGUGGUAAAUUCCAUCUAAAGCUAAAUAUUGGCGAGAGACCGAUAGCGAACAAGUACCGUGAGGGAAAGAUGAAAAGAACUUUGGAAAGAGAGUUAAACAGUACGUGAAAUUGCUGAAAGGGAAACGCUUGAAGUCAGUCGCGUUGGCCAGGGAUCAGCCUUGCUUUUGCAUGGUGUAUUUUCUGGUUAACGGGUCAGCAUCAAUUUUGACCACUGGAAAAGGGCCUGGGGAAUGUGGCAGCUUAGGCUGUGUUAUAGCCCCUGGUCGCAUACGGUGGUUGGGAUUGAGGAACUCAGCACGCCGCAAGGCCGGGUUUCGACCACGUUCGUGCUUAGGAUGCUGGCAUAAUGGCUUUAAGCGACCCGUCUUGAAACACGGACCAAGGAGUCUAACAUGCCUGCGAGUAUUUGGGUGGAAAACCCGAGUGCGCAAUGAAAGUGAAAGUUGAGAUCCCUGUCGUGGGGAGCAUCGACGCCCGGACCAGAACUUUUGGGACGGAUCCGCGGUGGAGCAUGUAUGUUGGGACCCGAAAGAUGGUGAACUAUGCCUGAAUAGGGUGAAGCCAGAGGAAACUCUGGUGGAGGCUCGUAGCGAUUCUGACGUGCAAAUCGAUCGUCAAAUUUGGGUAUAGGGGCGAAAGACUA